UUCCCUGUGGCUCAGUUGGUAGAGCAUGGUGUUUGCAACGCCAGCAUGGUGUGUGCAACGCCAGGGUUGUGGGUUUGAUUCCCACGGGGGAAC
rnacentral:tRNA from 1 species